CCUACGGGAGGCAGCAGUAGGGAAUUUUUCACAAUGGGCGAAAGCCUGAUGGAGCAACGCCGCGUGCAGGAUGAAGGCCUUCGGGUUGUAAACUGCUUUUAUAAGCGAGAAAUAUGAUGGUAACUUAUGAAUAAGGAUCGGCUAACUACGUGCCAGCAGCCGCGGUCAUACGUAGAAUCCGAGCAUUAUCCGGGGUGACUGGGUGUAAAGAGUUGCGUAGGUGGCAUAAUAAGUAGCUAGUGAAAUCUGGUGGCUCAACCAUUCAGACUAUUAGCUAAACUGUUAAGCUCGAGACCGUUAGGGGUAACUGGAAUUUCUAGUGUAGGAGUGAAAUCCGUAGAUAUUAGAAGGAACACCAAUAGCGUAGGCAGGUUGCUGGGACGGUUCUGACACUAAGGCACGAAAGCGUAGGGAGCAAACGGGAUUAGAUACCCUAGUAGUC
rnacentral:rRNA from 1 species